GCGGUUUCGUGUGCUCCACCGCACUGGUGGCGACAUCAUGUAUUCGCCGGAGAUGGCAAGUAAAAUAGUGGUCCUGUGCGCUAUACUCCACAAUAUCGCGGUAAGGAGUAGCGUAGAGCUUCCUCAGACAGAGGAAUUGCCUGAUGAGGAGCCAGGGGUUGUCCGACACUUCGGUGGGGGGAGUGUUACAAGGAGGGGGAGCCAAGUCAGGGCAAGCAUUGUUGCUGAAUUUUUCAGCUGAAAGACCACACAAACUGAGGACGACCACAACGGCAAGCACCACAUGAUGCACCAGCUCAGCACCCUUCCCCUUCUCACUCCCCCUCCACUUCCCAGUCCCCCUCCCCUUCUCACUCCCCCUCCCCUUCUCACUCCCCCUCCCCUUCUCACUCCCCCUCAGCUUCCCAAUCCCCCUCAGCUUCCCAAUCACCCUCAGCUUCCCAAUCACCCUCAGCUUCACAAUCCACCUCAGCUUCCCAGUCACCCUCAGCUUCCCAGGCCCCCUCAGCUUCCCAGGCCCCCUCAGCUUCCCAGGCCCACUCCACUUUCCACUCCCCUUCUCAGCCAACCUCUCCUUCUCUUUCUGUGACCCCUUCUCCUCCUUCCCAUACCCCUUCUCCUUCUACUUCCAACUCACCUUCUCAGCCCCCCUCACCCUCUAUUGGCCUAACAUUUUCACCGCCCCCCUCGCCCUCUCAAUCAGACCCACCCUCUGAAAUUACAUCCCCAAUCCAACCUCCUUCCCCCAUCCAGCCUCCUUCCCCCAUCAAGCCUCCUUCCCCCAUCCAGCCUCCUUCCCCCAUCCAGCCUCCUUCCCCAAUCCCUCCUCCUUCCCCCAUCCAGCCGCCUUCCCCCAUCCAGCCGCCAUCCCCACCCAGUGAAUGGGCAGAGGAAGCCCCUGAAGACAGUUCAGGGAGUCUUCAUGUUGCCGAGGAAAAUGUUGCAGUUGGAGAUCCUACAAGUUUUGGAGGCAUUCUUUACACCAUGCGCCAACACCUGCAAGGAUUAAUGCAUUGUGUUGAUA